rnacentral:lncRNA from 1 species
CAGGCAGCCCUCAGGGCCCCUCCUUUCCCACGCUAAGAGCUGAUGCGACGUGUGCCCGCGUGCACCAGAAGCGCUAGAGGAGCGCGACCACGAUAGCUCGCCUCUCCUCCCUCCCUCUCUCUCGCAGUGAGUCCUGGAGGUCCAAAACAACAUCCUGAGACCGUGGUUUCGACCCCAGCCUCUCUCUGUACCCCCAUGCACGCCAUGGUGGAUCACCCGCGCUCCCAAGUCGGCUCACUGUCGCGAGCCUAUAAAUAGCCCCUCCCCUCGCUCUAGAACCCCUGACUCCACCUCAUCGAGACCUCAAUAACCUCCCUAGCCACCCCAUUGAGCAAGCAGAGCCCCGGUGCUCGAGAUCGAUCGAGGCCCCUCCGCCUCGGAGCUCCGGUCGAUCUCCGGCUACACGUCGAC